rnacentral:rRNA from 1 species
UACGAAGGGGGCUAGCGUUGCUCGGAAUCACUGGGCGUAAAGGGUGCGUAGGCGGGUUUUAAGUCAGGGGUGAAAUCCUGGAGCUCAACUCCAGAACUGCCUUUGAUACUGAAGAUCUUGAGUCCGGGAGAGGUGAGUGGAACUGCGAGUGUAGAGGUGAAAUUCGUAGAUAUUCGCAAGAACACCAAUGGCGAAGGCAGCUCUCUGGGACGGUACUGACACUGAGACGCGAAAGCGUGGGGAGCGAACAGG